GAUGAACGCUGGCGGCGUGCCUAAUACAUGCAAGUCGAGCGAACGGACGAGAAGCUUGCUUCUCUGAUGUUAGCGGCGGACGGGUGAGUAACACGUGGAUAACCUACCUAUAGACUGGGAUAACUUCGGGAAACCGGAGCUAAUACCGGAUGAUAUUUUGAACCGCAUGGUUCAAAAGUGAAAGACGGUCUUGCUGUCACUUAUAGAUGGAUCCGCGCUGCAUUAGCUAGUUGGUAAGGUAACGGCUUACCAAGGCAACGAUGCAUAGCCGACCUGAGAGGGUGAUCGGCCACACUGGAACUGAGACACGGUCCAGACUCCUACGGGAGGCAGCAGUAGGGAAUCUUCCGCAAUGGGCGAAAGCCUGACGGAGCAACGCCGCGUGAGUGAUGAAGGUCUUCGGAUCGUAAAACUCUGUUAUUAGGGAAGAACAUAUGUGUAAGUAACUGUGCACAUCUUGACGGUACCUAAUCAGAAAGCCACGGCUAACUACGUG
rnacentral:rRNA from 1 species